AUCCAGCUGACGAGUCAGGAAUAGGACGAAGCGAGCGUCCUGGAU
rfam:Schistosoma mansoni, Puerto Rico, WGS project CABG01000000 data, contig: 0094